AACCGCUACCACCUGCAACUGCA
rnacentral:siRNA from 1 species